rnacentral:rRNA from 1 species
UACGAAGGGGACUAGCGUUGUUCGGAAUCACUGGGCGUAAAGCGCACGUAGGCGGAUGUGUCAGUCAGGGGUGAAAUCCCGGGGCUCAACCUCGGAACUGCCUUUGAUACAGCACGUCUCGAGUCCGGAAGAGGUGGGUGGAAUUCCUAGUGUAGAGGUGAAAUUCGUAGAUAUCUGGAGGAAUACCGGUGGCGAAGGCGGCAUCCUGGACCGACAUUGACGCUGAGGAGCGAAAGCUAGGGGAGCAAACGGG